UCAACCUGGCCAUAAUUUAGCCAUUACCCUGUCCACUCAUUCAGCUGACCAAACGACCCCGUUUCCCAGGCUCUCGAUCUGAGCCGGUUAUCUUGUAUGAUCAGAUGGCCAGGAACUAAAUCUCUAUAGGAUAUAACUGUCCGAAAAUCCCCCACCCCCAGAACCCCCCUCAAUCUGCUUCGUCUCCAAACCUCUGACCCUAGAGAGACCACCGCCCUCAGAUGCUGACCUUCAUCUUCGGUUGCAGCGACGCCAUAAACCACUUCAAUCUACCCAAAAUAACACCACAGAAACACCUCACCUUCCUAUUUCCAAAUCCCAACAUAUCUUCUCUCAAAUCCCUCUCAAUCCCUUUGAAUCUCGAAUUAAAGUUCGAAGCCCCAAAAAGGCUAAAUUGUUCUGCCGUUGAUUUUGUAGCAUGCAUGGCCACAUGCGUCCGAGUUUUCAAGUUUUUAAAGUCUAAUUUGGCAAAAGCAGUGUUGGUCAUCUGUUCUUAGCAAAGAACAAGAGAUUAACACUGGCUGCGUUAAAUCAAAAGUCCAAUACUGGUUUCGAGGGAAAAUCGGUAAGUUUUCUUUAUUUUCUUUUCCGUCUUGUGCUGUUUCAUCUUCCUACUCCUUUCUUUAUUUCGUUUCUUUAAAUACUUGAUCCUCUGAUUGAAAAAUUUAUAAAAGGGUCUCAAACCUAGUUUUCCCUUUUGAUUAAAUUAGUGGUCGUAUUUGUUCCUUUGAAUUUUCAGUUUCCCUCUUUAAUGUUUUUUAAAAUGAUGUUAUAUGUUUUUUUUUCGCUUAAUUACGACACUAUCUUUUGGUAAUUAGCUUGAGUUAGAUCUGGUUAAUUUGGUAAUGUGGUUUAAUUGUAGCUCACUAGUUAAUCUUAAAAGGGAGUCAGUCAUUUAGCUAGAAUGUUGAUAUUGAAAUUGUUUAGUUGUUUAAUUUUUCUGAUUUCUCAUUGAAUAGCCAACAUAAAGCUCCUAUUUUGUUUGGUCCAGGGGUUCAAUUCCGACCCAUUUUCAAAGAACAUCCCAUUCAUUUGGGCUAAAGUCAUUGUGUUAAUGGACUCAUUUGGUUGCCUGAAAGUAAAAAAGCAAGUGUUUAAAGGGUAUUUUGGGUAGUUUAGCCUAUGAAAUCUUGCAUAACUAACUUAAGAAGCUUCCUAGAAGCUGGGGUUGGGGCUUAAAUGAAAAUAUGAUUUUUACACUAAGAGUAUCUAAGCAAAAAUAAAAAUAUGAAAAGGUUUCAAGUGCAAAACUGAAUUCCUUUAUGCAGCCCUAAAAGCUUGCCUAUAAAGGCACACUUUCUUCAAGAACAAGUCAGGAUUCGGAAAUUGAAAAUUAUAUAAGAAAUAAAAAACGUCUGAGUCUUCUUCUAAGUAAAAAAAGGCUGAAAAUUGCUUGAGUCAGGCUUGGUUUCAAUUCUCUGUUUUCCUUGAAUAAUUGAUAAUUUCUAAAAAGCUUCUGAGGUCGUGUAUCUAGGCUUGAGAAUAUUUCGAAUUGGUUUGAAGUUUUGGUUUCAUUUGCUUUUCAUAUCACAGUUCUAUUGCUAAAAUCUGGUUGUUCUCUUCUUCUCCAUUUUGAGUUCAUUUCCUGUUGUUCUACUGUUGUAAUCAGGUAUCUUCUACAUCUCAUGGAUGUGUGAAAUAAAAGGAUCUGAAGCUAUGCUAUUGGGCCAAAGCUUGUGUUACAUUGCCUCUUCUUUUAUAUGUUACAUUCUCGCUGUAAUUUCAUGUCAAUCCAUAAUAUAUAUAGCCUUUUUCAUGUAACUCAUUUAGUGAUUUUAGUUGUUGUCUUUAAGCUCCAUUUGUACAUAGGAAGAACACUUUUAUUUUAGUCGAUUUGGUUUGUGAAUGGUUUAAGUUUCUGUUUGUAUGUAUGGAUUGUAGGGAAUUAGUGUAAUUUCAAAAGAAUAAACAUGUCCCAUAUAUGCUUUAGUUUGAGAAAUCAGUGUUGUUGAGGGAACUUGUCUGAACAUGUCUAAAUUGAUGCUCUUAAGGUCUGAACCAGAAAUUGUCAUGAUAAAGUUCAUCUAGUGCUGCAUCUAAUGUUUGAAAAAUCAUGUAGUACUCUACUUUGUUAAAAUCAUUGAUGAUUUUAAAGCCAUCACUUAGUUUACAAUCACUUGGAUAAAAAUGGUUUGGGUGACGACCUUAAGGGUCAAGCUAUGCGUUGAUUUACUUAUGGUGUGACUUUAAGCAUGUUAGUUUGAGAUAGAUGUUCAGAUUCAUAUUUG
rnacentral:lncRNA from 1 species